CGAAAGUAACCUUCACAACCCUGGUCACCUCCAACCAGGCUCCAAAAAGGAUUUUCUCUUUCGUUUUUUCACUCCGCCUGUCUCCAUAUCAUGUUUAAUGUAACAAGGAGUGGGACAAUCAAAACAGCAGGCAGUCAGCCCUGGUGUCGAGGCUGUGGCUACAGGAAAUUGAUGUGGAGGGAAAUGGCUUGGUGGCAAACUUUUACUAUUAACUCAGUCAUGUAUGGUAGAGGUCGGUGCAGGCAGCUAAAAAAUUGGGCUCCACACAGGCAAUUUUAGGUUUUUGCCAGACUGUGCUCCCCUCAGCUACGGCCUGUUCACACCUCGUUGUCUCCAUCCACCUCCACUCGCUGAUAAUCACGGAGCAGCUCUCUCCUUUUUACACUCCUUUUCUUUUUCUCCCGCUGCAGCUUUGGCCAGGAAGGAGCUUUCACAACUCAACCUGUGUGGCCACCCGACAAGCGAGUCCAAAGUUUUGCAGGAACUCUGCACAGCUAGUCCUCGGUUUUCCACGGGCUCGAGGAAAUGAGAAGGAAGGGAAGAGAGAGUACAGGUUUGAGGUGUUGGUGGACGUGCAGUGGACGGGAUCUCAGUCAGGCCCAACCCCCGCUCCUCCAAACAUGGUUACUUCUGGUUCCAAUGGGUGACUUCACGCGCUACCUGCCUGACCUACCGCAGCGCAUCACGGGGCACAGGGGAAGGUUGAAAUGAGAGGAGAUGGAGGAAGAGGGGAGGAGCAGGCUGAUGGGACAGGACCGUGGGCGAGAAGGGGGGAGGAGAGCAUCACUGGACGCCAAUCAGCACAUCCUCACUCGCCGCCAUUGGCUUGUCUGUCAGCAGUGCGUCUUGGCCUAGACACUGUCACAAUACCGAGGGCCACCAUACACCGGACCCCCGAGAGCCUCCACGGUCCACUGCACAAAUCCACCUCUGCACUCCCUGCCAGUCGCUUAACACUCAGCGACUAUAUUCCCUCAGCGCCAUGUGUGGUCCUCCUCUGUGCUCCAACAAAGAGAAAAAGGAAACCAUAAAGAGAGUUGACUAUUCUACCUGAGGAGAUUAUCUGCCCUUCCCUGAUGGUCACCUACCCUGUAUCUGUAGCUGCUUUCAGGCAUUAGCUUAAGUCUGGACAUUUUCUUGAACUGCUUGACUUUGUUUGUCAUAGAGUAUGUGAACGGCCAACUCCAGAAAACUUACCAAAUAUUGCAGACAUUUGCCGGAAUUUGUGUCUGAAAACAGCAUGUGAGAGGUAUUCAGCUGUGCAAUUUGGAUAUGGGACUAGCUUCUCUCCUGGCUGCUGAUUUCUUCUUCUAUGAAUGGGAAAAAUAUAUUUGUGGAACCGGCCACCAGACUUGU
rnacentral:lncRNA from 1 species